rnacentral:rRNA from 1 species
GAUGAACGCUGGCGGCGUGCCUAAUACAUGCAAGUCGAGCGAACAGAUGAGGCUCUUGCUCCUCUGACGUUAGCGGCGGACGGGUGAGUAACACGUGGAUAACCUACCUAUCAGACUUGGAUAACUUCGGGAAACCGGAGCUACUACCGGAUAAUAUAUUGAACCGCAUGGUUCAAUAGUGAAAGACGGUUUUGCUGUCACUUAUAGAUGGAUCCGCGCCGUAUUAGCUAGUUGGUAAGGUAACGGCUUACCAAGGCAACGAUGCGUAGCCGACGUGAGAGGGGGAUCGGCCACACGGGAAGUGAGACACGGACCAGACGCCUACGGGAGGCAGCAGUAGGGAAUCGUACGCAAUGGGCGAAAGCCUGACGGAGCAACGCCGCGUGAGUGAUGAAGGUCUUCGGAUCGUAAAACUCUGUUAUGAGGGAAGAACAAAUGUGUAAGUAAAUAUGCACGUCGUGACGGUACCUAAUCAGAAAGCCACGGCUAACUACGUG